GACGAACGCUGGCGGCGUGCUUAACACAUGCAAGUCGAACGGAAAGGCCCUGCUUUUGUGGGGUGCUCGAGUGGCGAACGGGUGAGUAACACGUGAGUAACCUGCCCUUGACUUUGGGAUAACUUCAGGAAACUGGGGCUAAUACCGGAUAGGAGCUCCUGCUGCUUGGUGGGGGUUGGAAAGUUUCGGCGGUUGGGGAUGGACUCGCGGCUUAUCAGCUUGUUGGUGGGGUAGUGGCUUACCAAGGCUUUGACGGGUAGCCGGCCUGAGAGGGUGACCGGCCACAUUGGGACUGAGAUACGGCCCAGACUACUACGGGAGGCAGCAGAGGGGUAUAUUGCACAAUGGGCGGAAGCCUGAUGCAGCAAAGCCGCGUGCGGGAUGACGGCAUUCGGGUUGUAAACCGCUUUCGCCUGUGACGAAGCGUGAGUGACGGUAAUGGGUAAAGAAGCACCGGCUAACUACGUG
rnacentral:rRNA from 1 species